rnacentral:rRNA from 1 species
AAAAGGUGGCUAUGCUACCGCUUUUGGAUGGGCCCGCGGCGCAUUAGCUAGUUGGUGGGGUAAAGGCUUACCAAGGCAAUGAUGCGUAGCCGAACUGAGAGGUUGAUCGGCCACAUUGGGACUGAGACACGGCCCAAACUCCUACGGGAGGCAGCAGUAGGGAAUCUUCCACAAUGGGCGAAAGCCUGAUGGAGCAACGCCGCGUGGGUGAAGAAGGUCUUCGGAUCGUAAAACCCUGUUGUUAGAGAAGAAAGUGCGUGAGAGUAACUGUUCACGUUUCGACGGUAUCUAACCAGAAAGCCACGGCUAACUACGUGCCAGCAGCCGCGGUAAUACGUAGGUGGCAAGCGUUAUCCGGAUUUAUUGGGCGUAAAGGGAACGCAGGCGGUCUUUUAAGUCUGAUGUGAAAGCCUUCGGCUUAACCGGAGUAGUGCAUUGGAAACUGGGAGACUUGAGUGCAGAAGAGGAGAGUGGAACUCCAUGUGUAGCGGUGAAAUGCGUAGAUAUAUGGAAGAACACCAGUGGCGAAAGCGGCUCUCUGGUCUGUAACUGACGCUGAGGUUCGAAAGCGUGGGUAGCAAACAGGAUUAGAUACCCUGGUAGUCCACGCCGUAAACG